rnacentral:rRNA from 1 species
CACGUAGGGGCCAAGCGUUGUCCGGAUUUAUUGGGCGUAAAGAGCUCGUAGGCGGUUCAGUCAGUCGGGUGUGAAAUCUCCGGGCUCAACUCGGAGGGGCCACCCGAUACUGCUGUGACUCGAGUCCGGUAGGGGAGUGGGGAAUUCCUGGUGUAGCGGUGGAAUGCGUAGAGAUCUGCAAGAAUACCCGUGGCGAAGGCGGCCAGCUGGGCCGGGUCCGACGCUGAGGCGCGAAAGCGUGGGGAGCAAACAGG